CUUACAGUUGUGAUGAGCUUUCACUUUUGAAGUGAAAACGUUGAAGACCGACUUUAAUAGAUAUUCUGUGGAUAUUACGGUGUUAACAGAAGACUGAAGUGGAGGAACAUGAAGAACAGGGCAGCAGUCGUCAGGUGUAGGCAAAUCAUUUAUAGAUAGGACAGAGAACACAGCUCAGAUGAAUCUCCGGAAAGAACUGAACAUCGCAGAGAAUGUGGAAAUGCACGAAGUUUUCUAACGACGCCUCGCUUCGAUGUCCCGACAUAAACUUGGAAACCGACAUCAAUCACCUAUUGGCUGCUGUGGCACGGAGGCAGUGCGGUGUGUAGGUCUUAAUGCACUUUGACGACUUAUAGGCCAUACAUCCUGUGAAUGACAUUUUUGCUAAAGCCUAAUGUCAUCGUGUAGCAGUAGGUACAGUUCCGCAUCACCGAUGACACGGGUGAAGUUCACUGAUGUUGUAGCAGACGAAAUUUUAGACAUACAUUAUUAGUAAGACAUUGUUUACAGAAAUGCUUUUGAUCAAUUAUUGAUGUAAGUCCACUGCUUGCAAUACAAAUAAAACCAUAAAUACAU